UACGUAGUGUUCGAGCGUUAAUCGGAAUUACUGGGCGUAAAGCGUGCGCAGGCGGUUAUAUAAGACAGAUGUGAAAUCCCCGGGCUCAACCUGGGCACUGCAUUUGUGACUGUAUAGCUAGAGUACGGUAGAGGGGGAUGGAAUUCCGCGUGUAGCAGUGAAAUGCGUAGAUAUGCGGAGGAACACCGAUGGCGAAGGCAAUCCCCUGGACCUGUACUGACGCUCAUGAACGAAAGCUUGGGGAGCAAACAGUAUGAGAUACCCGCGUAGUCC
rnacentral:rRNA from 1 species